AGUCUGAGAGUGAGCCGAGUGACUCGGAGGAAGAGAAACCUCUGGGCUCCUCAAGGCUGCACCAACUCAGACCAAAAACAAGAAUUACAAGAAGCCAGAGGAGCAAGAACAUGAAUAGAGGUGAAGUAUCCUCCUGUCUCAUUUAUUUUAGCUUCCUCAUUGUUUUUAAAAAGUUUUAGUUUAAUCUGUAGAUUAAAAACAUAACUGGAGGCUUGUUAUUUCUCUAGAUGUGUUGCACAGCAAUAGUGAGGACGAGCAGUCUGACACUGAAGGUGAAUGUAAUUUAAUUUAAAUUCAAUUUUUAUAGUUGGCAGCUCUUGCUCAACAAACCUAAGGCACAGUAAAAAAAAUAAAACGGAAAUACAGUGAUCCCUCGCUAUAUCGCGUUUCAUCUUUCACGGCUUCGCUGCUUCACGGAUUUUUUUUGCGAGUCGUUCAUUGCAGUUCUCAAAUAUAAUCGAAGGUGGCAUAUCCGUUUAUAAAAAUCUUCUUGCUCAGAAAAAGAAAGAGCGCCAACAACUACCCAUAACAAUGUUCUUCUCUCGGAGAAAGACUCCUGCGCCUUCAGUAGAAACAGAUGCUACAGCGGAGCGGAGUCAGGACGCAGAGGCACAGCUGGGACUGUGAAAUACGCGAGUGACAAUGUUUCCAACCUUGUAUUACUAUAUUAAAAUUAUUGUUUUAAACAAAUUUUGGGUUAUAGUUCAGUAUUGCAUUGUAAAAUAAUAAAAAAAAUGAAGCUGACUACUUCACGGAUUUCACUUUUCGCGUGUUAUUUUUGGGACGCAACUCCCGCGAUAAACGAGGGAUCACUGUAUAGUCAUUUUCUGCCCCCUUGUGGCACGUUGAUAUCACUGUACCUAGAAUAUGGCUGAAAAUUCUCAUAUAAUCUGAGUUGUUUAAUCAAAUGUAAACAGCCAGAACAAAAUGGUAAACAUUCUUUUUGUAUGUUUAAUUUAGUUGAUGGGCAGCAGAAGGUGAAUGGCCACAGCAGCAGGUUGCCUUACAGGAGGCGGAGCCGCCACAGGGACCCUCAGAGAGCCCCGUCUCAUAGUUUCGACAGGGAGGAGGAAGAAAACAUCAUGCGCCGUUCACUAAAAAGAAGAACUGCUCGGGCUGCUGUGAAUAAGAUCAAACUCCUGGAGGCAUCUCUGUCAGAGGAAGACUGUGAGGAGGAUAAUCCACGAAGGAGCAGCGGCCGCCUGAGGAGCAGCAGACGUCCCCCUGUGAUCCAGAGCAGCUCAGAAUCUGAGGGACCACCAGCUUACGCGUCUCAAAAAUCAAAGAAUUCCACUGAUGAAUCAGAGGCUGAUGAGCAUUCCUACGUCAGCGAUGCAUCCUCGCCUCAAAACAAGCAGAAUGGUGAUGUGGGGUCCAACCAGCACGGCACACGGAGGCGGGCCAACACCAAGGAGAAUGAUGUCUGUCCCCUUGUGAAUGGACACGAUGUAAAAGAUCCGUCGUCUGACAGUAACUCUGAGCGUGAGGAGGCAGCGGAGGAGGAAGAUCAACUCCAAAAGCCAUCACGGAACGUGGCAGUCAGUCAGGUCAGGACGAGGAAACUCACAAGUGAGGAGGAGGAAGAGGAGGACACGAAAUAUAAAUCAAGCUCAGAUGAAGAGGACAAAGACCACAAACCUCAAAUGCAUCCACAUCAAAAUGGCAAAAAUGUGGAAGAAGCCAACCACAAUGAUUCCCACAGAAAGAUUUUAGGGUCAAAAAGCCAGGAGCAACGAAAAGCGACCAGAAUGGAGGGUGCAGAAAUUGGUGGCCCUCCCAAGAGAAGACAGAAAACGGAGAAGAGAGAAAGCAAUCCGUCCAGCGAGGACUCUGCAGUCCACACAAAGAUGGUUACCAGAAACAACAGGAAACGGCACCAUGAGGAUAGCUCUGGCUCAAGAAGUGUCAAGCAGGAAUACAGACCCAAGCGCAAGAGAAAGCGGAAACAUUCAACCGGAUCAUCAGACGAGGAGUCGGACAAUACCGACAGCACGUCGAACCGCCGGCUGAACCUCAGACCACUCACAAAAAAGAAUUACACAGACGACAACUAUGUCUCUGAGGAUGAAUCUGCCACUGCCAGUCAGGAAAAACUCAGAAACGGCAACAGAACAGUCUCGGUGUCAACAAGAACGGAGAAGAAGAGACUUGGGACGGCCAAAGGUUCUUCCAGCACCAGGAAGCAAAUUUACACCUCUGACUCUGAAGAGGAAGGUGAGGAGAGAGAGCCAUCCCCCAAAACAAAGAGAACCUCAAAGCAGCUCAAGCGGGAGCGCACAGAUGGUAGCUCUGAGGAGGAGGACAUGUCUUCUCCAGCCGCUUCCAGCAAGGAGGAAUCUGAAGCUUCGAGGAGCAGGAGGAACGGCAUGAAGAGAGCCAAGUGGAAGGAGCGCAGCAGCAGCAGCGGCAGCAGCAGUGGCAGCAGCAGCAGCAGUUCGGACUCAGAGAGCGAACACUCAUCCUCCACCAGCCAAAACAGCUCAGGGUCCCACAGCAGUCCAAAGACCAGGAGCCUGUCUGGGAUCAGACACAGGACUGCCGGCCGACAGCUGAGACGGCGCCGCCGCCCAUCUUCCUCUGAGGAGGAGUACAGCGACAAGUCGAUCAGCAAACCUCGGCGGAAAACGCGCAUCACCACCCGUAACCAAGGGAAGCAGAGGGUGAUCUACAAUGACAGCGAGUAA
rnacentral:lncRNA from 1 species